UGUGCCGUCUUACCCUUGCAGCGCCUUCUAGGGGAACGUAGGCCUGGCUCUGCGCUGUGUUCCUUCCCGUUGUGCCCGAGCCAGCAGAGCACUGGGGACAUUUGGUAGUUUGAGCUUCUCCGGGGGAAGUGGGAAAAAUCAAGGCCGAGGAGAGGGCCUUAGGGAGUCUCCAUUCUUAUGUUCCUACCCUCUUUGGAUCCUGGACGAUGAACCUCCAGUAAAGGCUGUGGCCUAGGCUCUCCCUUUGGUCCUGCCACUUCUGCCUGUAUGGGAUGCUGGUGCUUUCCCAUGUGGCCCUGCAUGGUGUGGCAUGCCUCCUCCUUCUAGUACCUGAUUUUUGCCAUUUUCUAAAUAAUCCAUGUGAAUAAAUGAGGGUAGUGGCUACCAGCCAGAACCAGGAACAAGCACAAGAAAGAAGAGGGAAGAAGAAUGUAGCAGACAAAGGCCUCAUUCCUCCUCUUCAAAUCUUUGGAGAGGAACACCUAGACUGCUCUAGAGGGAGAUAACCACUUGCCGAGAAUCAGAAGGAGAGAUUCAAGCACCACAAAUCUGGUUAUCUCAUGCUCCUUCCUCACUGGAAUUUUGCCUGACAUCCCCAAACAUCUAAAUGCUUUAUCAACCAGAACAUAUACCCCUGGGCUGCUCCAGAUGUAAACUGUCUUGUGGAAAUAGCCUCGGAGUUUGAAAAUGUCGAUACAGGUUUGUCAGUAUAUAAAUUUUAUGACGUUUAAAACAGAACUUUUAAAAAAAGGUUUUAAAGCAAACUGUUCUAUCCAAUGGGAAUAAAACAAAAGGCAGGUCCAUAACUAUAU